CAAAAAGCCGUGCAAGGUAGGUUUUUUUCCAAUGUCGUCAGUUGUCAAAACGAAAGUACGGUUGAUAUUCACAAGCAUUAUAUUUCUCUUUCCGGGAUAUUUGUUCAAUAUGUUGAUGCUGCAUUAACGAAUAUACGUGUAUAUGAAGUGAAAACACCAAAAAAAAACAACGGUUGCGAUAGACACAUAUAAACUAUUAGAUGCACAUACUAUCACUUAAACAUUAGUUCAUUUUAGUUGUUGCAGAAUUUAUAUAUGCCUUGCAUUAAUUUAUGACUUCAAUCUUAACUUGUUAUAUCUAAUUUAAAUCUAAAUUAGCAUAACUUAUAUUGUUUCACAUGUUUUCAUUAAAUUAAACGCUUGCAUUUAUUCGGCUACUGCCGUUUGCAUAUUUUUGCUACUGACGGUUGCCAUUCCUAAACGUACUACUGACGUUUGCCAUAUUUGUUUUCACUCUUUAAACGUUUAUUAAAUAUCUGGUAGAUAUUUUUGUUUGUUUAUGCAUAGACAUAUGUACUAUAUGUUCGUCCGGUAAAGCAUAGACAGUUCUUUGAUCGUUAAUUUUCCAGAACACCGACUCUUUGUAAUUUUACUACUGACGUUUGCUUCUUAAAUGGAAAUUUGCGCCGAAGUGUUCUCGAAAACCAGAGCAACACACAAAACGCGUGAUAUACCGAUCGAAAGCUAUAUGCAUGCCAUAUAUUGCAUGCACUAGGUCGUAUGAAAGUCAGAGGAUGAUCAGCAAAGAUAUUGGAAAAAACCUACCUUGCGAAGCUGUUUGUUGUCAUAAAUUGACUACUUACGUUGACUUUUGUGGUCACGUGACAGUUUUUGUUCAUUCACAGUGGUUAUGAUUUGUCAAACUCAAACUUUUAUGUUUAGACUAUAAGCUAUAGCAAAUAGAUAUAUCUCGCAGUCAGGUGCGUUGUACAAAUGCCCGGUUGUGGAACGUUUGCAGACGAAAUAGAUUAGAAAAUAAACAUAGAAUUUUCUUAUUCUUACAAGUUUUGUUCGAAGAUUUUCUUCUAAUAGUUUUUCAAUAACCAUUUUGAGUGAUUUUUUCUAAAAUCCUUUUGAGUGAAGUUACGUUCUUAGAAAAUUAAAAAAAAAUCGUUCCUAGAACAAUUCUGUUAUUGGCAAAGGCAGAUAACGUUUACAAUAGCUAUUAUAUUUAGCAAAAUGUAAUAAAAGUUUGCGUGGUGCGUGGUAGCUCAUCCGCUUAUGGAUCCUGACGACACGGGUUCGAAUGACAGUGAUGUCACUUUUUUUCAACUUUUUGUCUUAUUAUAAAAAUUAGUUAAGUAUAUUUAAAACAUAAACGAUUUUUAGCAAUCAUAUCUAAUGACAUUUGAAAACAUGCCAAAAUAUGUUAACAAUUACCUUAAAAACGUGGAUUGGAACGAGAUUUGGAUUACAUUAUCGUAGUUCCACAACUAGUUGCGUAUGUGCCAUCAUUCCAAUAUAUAUGUUCCUAACAUUUUCUGCUAACUUUUUGCAUACUAAACUAUGUGUUUUUAACAAAGUGAAUUUCGUUGAAUGUGAAAUAACAUACUUUUCCAAUGUAUUCAUUAAUGGGGUUUCAUUUAGUUGUACUUAUUUAUUUAGAUUUUCAUUCUGUCAACUGUGCCUUUAACAUGUGUUACUUCAGCAGAAACGUUCCUUCAUCUUGCCAAUGGACUUUCAACGCCAUCGGCUCUAUCGUUGUAGUAGUGUCACUGUUAGUAUAUUGCCACUAGGUUAUUGAUACGACCCGUACAAUGUUAUAUUGAAUCGUUUGAUGAAACACCGUUCUAUUUUAGUGUUUCAACAGGUGCAUAGAUCCAUUAUGAACAUGGGAGAGAGAACAUUCUACAAAUGGCAAAAGGAGGCAUCGGGCAUACAGAGUCAGAGUCGGAUAGCUUUGACAGACACAUCAGCCUGUACAGUCGUCACUCUCGGGACUAUGUUGAAAGCGUGUCCAAAGAGAUAUGUAGUGUAAUGACCAGGCUGGGGUACGGCGAGGAGAUCAGACGGUGGCGGAUUGAGAAGUACAGGGAGAUGGAUAGGCUGUCGAAUGCACGACGAAGCGAUAUAACUAAAAUCACUGCUGGAAGCAAGGCAGAGGGGCUGACCUGCUUGUUAGAAAGUGACAUUGACGUUUUAUUUGUGCAGAAUGGUGUCCUCUGUGUUGAAUUCGAUUUCGAUCUUCACACCAUACCAGACGACAUAGGCCUGUUUAGGAUGGAUACAUCUGUAUACCCAGGACACUGCAGGCUGCCACAAGAGAGACAGGCGCAUACACGUAUCGAUAUCAUUCACAAUGCUCUGUGGGAUAAUGGAUAUGGAGAAGUUCUAUUAGUAGUAGUUUAUUGCUUAAUGAAUUUUCUUCGGCACUUUCAUUUGAACUUCCAUCCGGAGUGUCCCAACAUAAACGCGCGGGGCCGUCACUACCGCAUACCACUAAUGCGUUAAUACAUAUGGACAGAGUAUUCGCACUACGUUGUUUAUGCCCAAGCGUCCUACAACGAUGGGCUGCCAGACCCCGGCAUUGGCCGUCACCAACCAUAGUUCAAAAAGUCAUUGCAUUAGGAGCCUUUGUAACCCCGGUGGGUUUUAAGGGAAGUGAAACCAGGCACUUGGAGUGGCGGAUUUGUUUUAACACUGGUGAGUCAGAACUCGUGAACAACCUUUGUGACACUCAAACCAAAGUUUAUGUUAUACUCAAAAUGAUCCUCAAAGAUGUACUGAAACCACAAAAUAAAGAAAUUUCAUCUUACAUACUGAAAAACAUAGUUUUAUGGCAAGGCGAACGUAACCCACAGACACAAUUUCAUCCGUGCAGUUUAUUGCACUGGCUGCAUGACGGUCUGACAGAACUAAGGACUGCUAUUGCCAAACAACAUCUGCAGUAUUACAUGAUUCCUGAGCGGAAUUUAAUGGAAGCCUGUGGUAUGACAGAUGUGUUGCAACAUAAAUGGGUAGCAGAUAUCACGGACAUGCUAGAGGAAGGUCCUGGGGUAAUACUUAGAUUGGAGAAGAUACGAAAGGCCAUUAUCGCGUUCACAUGGCCGAUGCAGUGGUUCAGCAAGAAAAGGAUGCAAAUUGAGAUGCUGCGCCUUGAGGAAUCUAUCAGAGCCUUGAAAUGUAGAGAUGCGAACAAGGUGUUGAACGACUCGGAUUUCAUGCUGAAUGCGAUAUGGAUACGCCUUGAAAGAGAAUAUGAAGAGGUGAAAACUCUAAUGCUUUUGGAAGGCAGUUCUGUAAAUGCCCUGGAGGAUAUUCACAGAAAAAUAUUAAUGUAAACAUCAAAUAAAUAAUACUUAAAUUGUAUGUGUACCAAGGCUGAAUUAAUGAUCAAAUAUACAUUAAAUAAAUUCAGUCAGUCAUAAAGCGUCAAAUUGUCGCUUUAUACGAUGUAAUAUUUUUAUUAUAGUAUCUGUUAUGCAAUAUGUUUGGAUGCUUAACUCAUUGGCCCCGUAUUCUCUUAACAGUAUACUUUUAUAUUUUGAAAUGAAUGGUUGUGCCGAAAUCAAUUUAACCCAUUCAGCCCUAGUGUCGUAUAUAUGCGUCCAAAUAAUCAACAGUGGAGUUCCUAGCGUCGUAUAUAUGUGUCCAAUAAUCUACAGUGUGAAUUCCUAGCGUCGUAAAUAUACGACAACUUAGAUGUAGCUCUGAAUGCCUAAUGACUUAAAAAUACGUCUGUUCAUAUUGGCAUUUAAAUAAACAGCUAUUUAUUUGCAGUAAGUUUUUCAACCUAAGAAAAUUCUUGUAACAAAUACUUUCAUAAUUUGGAAAAUGAUUUUGUUUUAUCAUUUCUGGUCAAAACCCUGUGCAAAAAAAGAUAAAAAUAAAUAAAUUAAGUCAUGGUAACUCAUGUUGUUUUUUUUAUAGUUAUUUGUAUUCUAUUUUUGUAUUUUAUUUCAUUCUACAUUUUAAUUAAGUUUUAAUAUAAGCAUAUUAAGAUGUUCUCGUUUAUUUAUUUUUCAUAAAAUUACUUGCAAUUGAAACAUAACUGUGCUUAUUAAUGUUUGUUUUUAUUAUAAGCAAUAUCUUAUUAUUGUUUAUAUGUCAUUUAAUUAUUUAUUUUGUUUUAUUUUAAAAUAAUUUUAAAAGAUUGUUUUUAUUCAUUAUAACAGUUUCUAUUUGUAAAAAGUGUAUACAUAGAUAAUAAUGGUAUUGGAUAAAUUAUUUGGAUAUAAUUCAAUGUUUUUUUAUUUGAUAAGUUAUGCAAGAUUUCUAAAUUUUCAUAUAUUACUACAUUCAUUUUUAAAUUGGAAAUAUAAUAAUAAAACAUCUGUCACAUAAACCGUCAACAAAGUAACAAUACUUAAAAACACUAUAUACCAUUUCACACCACUAAAAGUAACAAUAAUCAGAUAAUCUGUCAGGCAUUCAGAGCUGAUGAGGGUCCUGAUUAGCUAGGGGUAGAUAAGGCUAUUACUGAUAGGGGCUGCCUAGAGAUAAGGCUGUAGUAUGGAAUGAGUUAAGCAUGUGCGACAAAAUAAGUAGAAAUGUUGUAAUUUUGACCCUGACAUGUUGAUGUAUUAGUCCGCUAAAUAGGGACAACCGUUUUUAUUGCUAAUUGUUCGUGCCAAGCACGGGUAAUAUUUGUACAUAAGCAUGUUGUUCGUAUUUAGCAUAUUCAUCUACAUGAUGUUUUGUACAAAAUAAGCAUGUAUUCCGGAACAAGAUUAGUCUAUCUAAAUCUGAAUAAAUAUUUAUUAAAGUAA